rnacentral:snRNA from 1 species
AUCACUACUUAGACUUUUGGCUAAGAUUAAGUGUGGUAUCUGUUCUUACUGGUUUAAUAUCUGAUACAUCCUCUAUCCGAGGACAAUGUGUUGAAUGGAUUUUUGGAAUAGGAAGAUGGAAGAGGCGCUUGCUCUGUCCAUUCCACACAUCGACCUGGUAUUGCAGUACUUCCAGGAAUGGUGCACCCCUU